UGGGGAAUAUUGGACAAUGGGCGCAAGCCUGAUCCAGCCAUGCCGCGUGAGUGAUGAAGGCCUUAGGGUUGUAAAGCUCUUUCGCCGGUGAAGAUAAUGACGGUAACCGGAGAAGAAGCCCCGGCUAACUUCGUGCCAGCAGCCGCGGUAAUACGAAGGGGGCUAGCGUUGCUCGGAAUCACUGGGCGUAAAGCGCACGUAGGCGGAUCGUUAAGUCAGGGGUGAAAUCCUGGAGCUCAACUCCAGAACUGCCCUUGAUACUGGCGAUCUCGAGUUCGAGAGAGGUUGGUGGAACUCCGAGUGUAGAGGUGAAAUUCGUAGAUAUUCGGAAGAACACCAGUGGCGAAGGCGGCCAACUGGCUCGAUACUGACGCUGAGGUGCGAAAGCGUGGGGAGCAAAACAGGAUUAGAUACCCUGGUAGUCCACGCCGUAAACGAUGGAUGCUAGCCGUUGGGGGGUUUACCUCUCAGUGGCGCAGCUAACGCCUUAAGCAUCCCGCCUGGGGAGUACGGUCGCAAGAUUAAAAACUUAAAUGAAUUGACGGGGGUCAUAGCUGUUUCCU
rnacentral:rRNA from 1 species